GACGAACGCUGGCGGCGUGCUUAACACAUGCAAGUCGAACGGAAAGGCCUGCUUUCCCUUGUGGAUUGCGGGUACUCGAGUGGCGAACGGGUGAGUAACACGUGAGUGAUCUGCCCCCAACUUGGGUAUAAGCCUGGGAAACUGGGUCUAAUUCCCGAUAGGACUGCAGGGUGGUGCCUGUGGUGGAAAACGAUUUUCUAGUGGUUGGGGAUGAGCUCGCGGCCUAUCAGCUUGUUGGUGGGGUAAUGGCCUACCAAGGCGGCGACGGGUAGCCGGCCUGAGAGGGUGGACGGCCGCAUUGGGACUGAGAUACGGCCCAGACUCCUGCGGGAGGCAGCAGUGGGGACUAUUGCACAAUGGGCGGAAGCCUGAUGCAGCGACGCCGCGUGGGGGAUGACGGCCUUCGGGUUGUAAACUCCUUUCGACCGCGAGGAAGCCACCUGGUUGGAAGGGUGGUGACGGUAGUGGUAGAAGAAGCACCGGCUAACUACGUG
rnacentral:rRNA from 1 species